UCCAAAUGCUCCAUAUUAGCUGAAAAUUUCGUGCAAAGUGGAUUGGCAAGAGAUUGAUACAAAAAUAGCAACUUUCCAAUCUAACUUCAAUCAAAUUUCUCACCAUCAAAACACUUGAUUUUUAUUUGAUUCCCUCAACAUAUUCUAACCCUAUUUUAUUCCUCUAUAAAUAGACAACAGGAACAUAGUGUUAGGGGACGAAAAUUGGGUAAAGAGGCUUGGGUUCUAAAGUGGCAAAAAUUCAAGAAAGUGGGGCAAGCUUGCAUUCUUUGUUUCAGGCCAAACCAAGGGCAAACAACCAUCCCAAUAAUCUCCUGAGUGAUUAUACAGUAAGUACAGGUAUUUGGUGAUGCCCAAUCAUGCAUAUAAUCCAUACACCUUGUUCAUGUUUCAAGAUUUUUGCACUUCAUGUAUUAUUAUGUUUUAAUGAGAUUUAGUGGUUUUAACGUGUUCCUGGCAUGUUUUAGAAGAGAUUUGAAUCCUUGGUCGUGAGUUUUAAUGCCCAUAGCGUAAGGAGCCAUGGCUAGGGCAUGAGUUGCAUAUUGCUUCGUAUCCAUACUUGUAGCCGUUUUCAGGACAAAAGGAUGGUACCGUCGGAUUCGCAAGGUCCAAAUUAGUGGACAAAGGUGCUUUUGAUUAUCGUUCUUACCAUAUUUUACAAGUUUGAUUUUUUGCAGGUAAAGCCACGACCGAAAUCGUAAUUAAUUCGCAGAUAAACCAUAGCUACAGCCUUCGUUUAAAAUUUUGCAGAAAACCGUAGCCAAUUUCCAGAAGUCAUAGCCACACCAUAGCUACUUCGUAGCUAAUUUCCAGAAAUAAAAAUAUAGUGGAGAAGACGAUGAAGGGCGUGGCACGUGUGUCGAUUUGGGUGGCUAGUCAAAAUCCCAAUUCCUCUCUCUAUCUCUUAUUGGCUGGUCAAAAUUGGCAGACUCUCUCCCCAUUCACCAUUGGCUGCGCGUGAUUUCCACAGGGGCCCAGUUUGAUUUAAUGUUUGACUUUUUCCAUUUAGUUUUAGGUUUUAUAUUUAUUUUCUGUUUGUCAUAUUAAUAACAACAAGGCAAUGGUGGAUGGUUGGCAAAAGAAGACGAAUGGUGCAUCGUACCACCUCACGUCUCCACCACCAGAUCACCGGCGAGUACAAUCCAAGUGAUCCCAGCGUGAAGUCUAUCAUAGACCAUCAAGGGCCUACCUCACUGGAUUCCCAUCGCCAGAUUUGUUUUUCUUUCUUUCUUCUUUUGUUUUUGAUUGUUUUAUUUCCUUUUUUUAUUUUUAUUUUUUUUAUUUGGUUUUAUUUUUUGAUAAUUAACAUUUUUAGGGUUUAAUUGAUAGUCCUAAUUAGGAUUAGGAUACAUUAAUUUAGUCUAGUUAAUUUGUUUAGAUAAUUUUCAAUAAUUAAGUUAAUCAAUUAGGUUUUAAUUAAUUUUAGCCUAAUAAUUUUAGGCUAAUUUAUUUUAUGCCUUAAACCCUGAUUUUAUCAUGAGCACUAAUCACUGUAUUUUUAGGUUUGUUCAUUAACCCUCAAGAUUUAUAAUUUAUCACCAUAAAAAAUCACUAAUUGUUUUGCUAACCCUUAUUGUUGAUCUUUUAAGGCACUAACCAUUUUUCUUCUUUGUGUCUAAUUUUCAGGGUUAAUAAAAACUCCUCCGACUACGCGCCAUGCCAAAUCAAAAAGCUAAGUUCUAAUCCUUUUUCUCAUUUAAAUGUUGUUUUAUCUUUUAAUUUUUGUCUUAUAGGUUAAAUUAGAGUUUAUUUUCAAUGCCAAGGAAUUCCUCCUACGCUCACCCCUAUCAUUAUCCGUUUAAUUCUCAGAUGAUCAGAGUCAAUCGAAGGUGCAAGGAGGAUCAAAGUUGAAGAUGUGUAAAUCAAUUUUCUGCCUUUAUUUUCUGUUACCCUAUAAGGUUUUAUUGUAAUAGAUUAGGUUAUCUUUCCGCCUUUUAAUUUCUCCCAUCCCCGCAGGUGUUUAUUGUAAUAGCGUAGGAUUUUAACUGUUUUAUUCUCUGCCAUGGUUAGUAAUCCUAGGGAGUGCAAACCUGCUAAAUAACUUAGAUCACUAAUUACAAGAUAAAUAACUGAACUGAACUCACGUGAUUGUGACACACACGCACCUUUAGGGUAAUCCCUCUUGUUGCCUUAUUGUUUCCCGUUGCCUUUAAUUGUACUAAAUAGUCAAGUCCCUCGAUUCCGAGGAUACCUAAAGCAAAGGUUGCCUUAUUCAGUGAUAUCAUCAAUUUUGUCCCUCGAAGCUGCCUCGGUAAAAGAUGAUCGUCCCAAUUGCUAAGGUAUCCUCGCAUGAUGCCUAAAGCAGAAUGACUAUUAUAUCCUUCCCUUAGACUACCUGCCCUCUCUAUGGUAGGGAUAGUCUUAUGGCGAACGAUACUCUCGAUGACCCUUCCACAUCCAAUUGAAAGACUUCCUGCCCUCUCAUGGUAUGGAUAGACCCUUUCGCCUGAAAAGCUAAAAGAACGAUCUUUCAAAACUUAGGGUAAGUUGCUUUUAAUUGCUUGCUCAAUUCAAACGAAUUCAAAAAUACUUUUCCCACCUCUAUUCAAAAUCAAAUUCAAAAAGACUACGCUUAUUUACAAGCUAAAGUUCUUCUUCGAAAAUCUUUUCAAACAAAUUCAAACAUUUUGAAAACAAAAGUGAGCUAAGCAAUUAAGAGCCCAUGGAUAACCAUGGAUACAAAGGGUGCCUUACACCUUCCCUUUGUAUAACUUACCCCCGAACUCAAAAUCUUUUUAAAAGGUCUUUUCCUGUUCUUUUAGCCUUUCCUAAUUGGAUAAAAUAAAAGUCGGUGGCGACUCUUGCUUACCGCAACAUUUC